UUUGUGAUUCCUAUUUUUAUGUUUUAUUUUCCCACUGUACAGCAAGGGGAUCAAGUUAUCCUUACGUGUAUACAUUACAAUUACAUACCCCCCCACCCUUUGUUCUGUUUCUGCUGAGCCACGACAGGAACUCUGAAAGAUUGUAUGUUAAAAGGACGAUGGUGUCUUCCGGGCUUGUUCCGUAAAACAGCAAUCUUGUCACUUUUUAAAAUCCUGGUGGGUUUCUCUCCAUCUUAGGCUGAGGAAAUGAUGGCUGCACACUGACCAGUGGAGGCAAGUGCCAGGCCUGCAGCAGCAGGGUGACAGGCCCGGGGCCUUCGGGGGAAGGUGACUAAGGCUCCGCUGCCGGUUCCUCUCUGGCUCAUAAGGGUUAAGACUGGUAUCCUUGGCCUGUUCUUUCCCCCUGUGAGAGAAGAACAGAUCUCACCACCAGCUCAGGCCCAAGUCGUGAAUGUCCUUUGUCUGCGAGGCCCUGGGAGGACAGCCCCAGGCCUGCCUGCUUCACUUUUCCGUGUCCAGCCGGCAGCAGGGGCCCUUGGGCCCUUGACCGUUCAUGAAUCAUUUUUGAAAAAUUGCUCUUUGCCUGGCACUGUGCUAGGCCCUGAGAAUACAGUAGUGCUCAGUGAAGAUUUGUUGAUGGACCGAGUCAUACAAUUCAAAUUUAAAAAUACCUAGAAGUUCCCGUCCCGGCUCAUCAGGUUCAGGAACUGAUGUGGUCUCUGUGAGGAUGCGGGUUCGAUCCCUGGCCUCCCUCAGUGGGUUAAGAAUCCAGCUUUGGAUUUCUUGAUUAUUUUUCUUAAAAUCUGGUCCCAGCUCCAAGUCUCUAGUGUCGUAAAAGGCAUCAGGAUAGUCUUGCUCCGUCCCUGAGCCAGAAAGGCUGCUCUUCUGAUGGCGCGUGUGAAGCACACCCGAGUCCUGGGAGUGAGUCCUUUCAAACCGUCCUCUCGCUUCCCUCCUCUUUUUCCUGCUGAUACCGAGUCGUGGUCUCUGCCUUGGUAAUGCUGUCCUCACUGCCACCAGAUGUUUAUUAAGACA
rnacentral:lncRNA from 1 species